rnacentral:rRNA from 1 species
ACGAACGCUGGCGGCGUGCUUAACACAUGCAAGUCGAGCGGUAAGGCCCUUCGGGGGUACACGAGCGGCGAACGGGUGAGUAACACGUGGGUGACCUGCCCUCAGCUCUGGGAUAAGCCUGGGGAAACCGGGUCUAAUACUGGAUAUGACUCCAUGACGCAUGUUGUGGGGUGGAAAGCCUUGUGCGGCUGAGGAUGGGCCCCGCGGCCUAUCAGCUUGUUGGNGGGGUGAUGGCCUACCAAGGCGACGACGGGUAGCCGGCCUGAGAGGGCGACCGGCCACACUGGGACUGAGACACGGCCCAGACUCCUACGGGAGGCAGCAGUGGGGAAUCUUGCGCAAUGGGCGAAAGCCUGACGCAGCGACGCCGCGUGAGGG